rnacentral:tRNA from 13 species
GGUAUCGCCAAGCGGUAAGGCACCGGUUUUUGAUACCGGCAUUCCCUGGUUCGAAUCCAGGUACCCCAGCCA